UUACGGCUAUAUCACACUGAAACACCGGUCCUCUUCCGAUAACCGAAGUUAAGCAUUGUCGAGACUGGCCAGUACCUAGAUGGGUGAUCGCUUGGGAAUACCAGGUAUGGU